rnacentral:tRNA from 1 species
AGUCGGCGUAGCUCAGAGGGCGCGCAUGUGGUAGAGCAGCGAUCAAGUGAUCGUGUGUCGCGGGUUCAAAUCCCGCCCCGAUUG